GAUACGUUUUUAAGGUGGCCGAGUGGUUAAGGCGAUGGACUGCUAAUCCAUUGUGCUCUGCACGCGUGGGUUUGAAUCCCACCCUUGUCG